rnacentral:rRNA from 1 species
UCCUACGGGAGGCAGCAGUAGGGAAUCUUCCGCAAUGGACGAAAGUCUGACGGAGCAACGCCGCGUGAGUGAUGAAGGUUUUCGGAUCGUAAAGCUCUGUUGUUAGGGAAGAACAAGUGCGAGAGUAACUGCUCGCACCUUGACGGUACCUAACCAGAAAGCCACGGCUAACUACGUGCCAGCAGCCGCGGUAAUACGUAGGGGGCGAGCGUUGUCCGGAUUUAUUGGGCGUAAAGAGCUCGUAGGCGGUUCAACAAGUCGGUCGUGAAAGUUCAGGGCUCAACCCUGAAAUGUCGAUCGAUACUGUUGUGACUAGGAUACGGUAGAGGUGAGUGGAAUUCCGAGUGUAGCGGUGAAAUGCGUAGAUAUUCGGAGGAACACCAAUUGCGAAGGCAGCUCACUGGACCGCUAUCGACGCUGAGGAGCGAAAGCUAGGGGAGCAAACAGGAUUAGAUACCCUGGUAGUCCUAGCUGUAAACAAUGGAUACUAGACGUAGGAACUGGAUUGACGGUUUCUGUGUCGUAGCUAACGCGUUAAGUAUCCCGCCUGGGGAGUACGGUCGCAAGACUAAAACUCAAAUGAAUUGACGGA